rnacentral:rRNA from 1 species
AUUGAACGCUGGCGGCAUGCCUUACACAUGCAAGUCGAACGGCAGCACGGGAGCAAUCCUGGUGGCGAGUGGCGAACGGGUGAGUAAUAUAUCGGAACGUGCCCAGUCGUGGGGGAUAACGUAGCGAAAGCUACGCUAAUACCGCAUACGAUCUAUGGAUGAAAGCGGGGGAUCGCAAGACCUCGCGCGAUUGGAGCGGCCGAUAUCAGAUUAGGUAGUUGGUGAGGUAAAGGCUCACCAAGCCGACGAUCUGUAGCUGGUCUGAGAGGACGACCAGCCACACUGGGACUGAGACACGGCCCAGACUCCUACGGGAGGCAGCAGUGGGGAAUAUUGGACAAUGGGGGGCAACCCUGAUCCAGCAAUGCCGCGUGAGUGAAGAAGGCC